UGUUGGUUUGAGGUUUAAGGGGGGUGCUGCUAGAUUGGGAGGGCUGGAGGAGGCAAGGGUGGGGUUGCCAGGUUGGAGGAAAGGUAGGGGAAGGAAGAAGCAGGGCCCCAUGGAAGUGGGGAGUAAGGAAGGGGUGUCGGGAAAGCAGAAGUUAGGGCAGGUUGUGAGGGCAGGAGAAGGGUUGCUGGUUUGGAGGGGCAGGAACGGUGUGCAGAAAGGAGGAGCUGCUAGUCCAGUGCCAAUGAAGGCUGUAGGAGUCUGUCUGUCGCAAUCAGGUAGUGGAUGAGUAGCAGAGCCUUGUGCCAGGAGCUCUGGUCCUAUCGUAGCUAAUGCUCUGCAUUGUGCCUCCGUUUAUAUCUGAGUCACAGCAGCAGGAAGGAAGGUCCUGUGGGCCAGUGAAUGAGGCAGGUGACCCAGGAUCUAUGUGCAAUUCUGACACCGAUUUUUGUGCGACCUUGGUCAAGUCACUUCCUACCGUCAACCAAGAUCCGAGAGCUUGGAGCUGAAGUUCGCUGCAGCUCAGCCAGAAGUUACAGGCUUGAUGCAGGAAAUCCUGGACGGGAUUCUAUGGGCUGUGCUAGGCUGGAGGCCGGACCGGAGGAUCCCUUCUGGUCUCAAAAUCUAUCAAUCUGUGGGGAACAGGGGCCAGAGGAGCAGAUAUUUCUUUUGCAGCUGCAUAACUUGGCUUAGGAUUUGCAGGGCAGCACCACCUCUGGCUCUGGUCGGCCCAGCAACAGCCAAGUGUGACGGGGUGGACCUGGCCUCUGUGGCUCCCUACAGGAGCCCCGUGGGCCUACUACCAAGAGGCUGCCAAGUGACAGGAAAGGAGCAGUGAAGGUGGCUCGUCCAGGCCCACCUAGAGAGGCCUCACAGAAGCAGCCAGCCAGGGCCCAGCAGGUCAGACAAAAGGAGCUGCAGGGCCUUAGCCUGCCAGUCGCUGGCUGGGACCAGAGGGGCAAGGAAAGGGCUCCUCUCUGGCCACAGGAGCUCGAGGGGUCAUCAGAGUUUGUUUCUGGCUGUGUUUUGCUUCGCUGGGUUUGCAGGGAGAGAGAGAAUCUGAGAACCUUAACCCUGAAAUAAGGGUGAAGCAAAAAGGGGUCAGGGCAGGAAGAGGCCCGGGGAAGAAGCAGCAAUAAAUUGAAAUUGAGCAGUGUGUGGCUGGUGUUUAUAGAGUCCUUGGGCUGGAACCUGGAGUAGUGGGAGGCCCCAGCAUCUUCUCCCGGCCACAGGUAAAGGGGCGUGAGCCACAAAAAGACCUUAUUUGGGAGCCUGAACAAAGGGCUGAAUUGAAAGGGCCCUGACCUGGGCCUGAAGACCCUAGCGAGGGGAAACAGACUGAUUAUUUUUUGGACUCUUUACUACCCUGAAAGGGUUCAUUUGGACUUUGGGACUCAGUUGGAGGACCAAGCCACUGAAGACCUGCCAAAGUAGGCUGGCAACUUGCAGGGGGUGCCAGGGUUGAGAAAAGGUCUGCAGUACCACACCCAGCCACUAGGAGAUGCUCAAGAGGUGAGUGUGCCCCAUUACACCAAGAGCCCCAGUGUCUAGGGCUGAACUAAAACCAGGAAUUGGCCCAGUUUUAAUAAAUCCAACUGGAAGCCCAGGACAUGCCUUGGAAAGGCAGAGCCUCCCAGAAAACUUGAACGUAUAGUCCUCCUAAGCAAGGGCAUCAAACCAAGAGCUUCCAAAGGCAAAACCGAACACUUCAAUGUCAAACUCCUGUGCUUGCUCAGGCCCAUAACCCUCGCCCCCUCCUCCAUACAGAACACAUCUGGAGUCCAAGCAGGAGCUCUGAGCUCGGGGCAUCUGUUUCGCUUGGAAGGCAAGGGGCUCUCUCACGCAAUAUCUGGCCCUUCCUCCUUUCUCAAUGUGCUUACAUGGAAGCUGGAUUACCCGCUCUUCAUGGCCCGAUAGGGGAGCUAGAUGGUAUUUGCUACAGCACCAACCUGGAAUAAAAAGAAUAAUGCCACACCAUUUCUUAAAUUCUAACAGCUACAAUAAAAUGCAAUUUACAGUAA